rnacentral:rRNA from 1 species
AUUGAACGCUGGCGGCAGGCCUAACACAUGCAAGUCGAGCGGAUGAAGGGAGCUUGCUCCUGGAUUCAGCGGCGGACGGGUGAGUAAUGCCUAGGAAUCUGCCUGGUAGUGGGGGAUAACGUCCGGAAACGGGCGCUAAUACCGCAUACGUCCUGAGGGAGAAAGUGGGGGAUCUUCGGACCUCACGCUAUCAGAUGAGCCUAGGUCGGAUUAGCUAGUUGGUGGGGUAAAGGCCUACCAAGGCGACGAUCCGUAACUGGUCUGAGAGGAUGAUCAGUCACACUGGAACUGAGACACGGUCCAGACUCCUACGGGAGGCGGCAGUGGGGAAUAUUGGACAAUGGGCGAAAGCCUGAUCCAGCCAUGCCGCGUGUGUGAAGAAGGUCUUCGGAUUGUAAAGCACUUUAAGUUGGGAGGAAGGGCAGUAAGUUAAUACCUUGCUGUUUUGACGUUACCAACAGAAUAAGCACCGGCUAACUUCGUGC